rnacentral:lncRNA from 1 species
AGCUAUAUCAGACAUUCAAAUUCAUUGAAGUUUGAUCCAAAUAAUUACAAGUGGGUUGAAUAAAUAAUCUCAAAUUCAAUGACUCAAUUAAUCCAUUCAAAGUCUGCAUGACUAGUAUGAUUAAUUAGCUUUUAACCCCAAUUAGCAUAUCCAUCACAAAAGAUACACAUAAUAUCAAAAAAUUAUAACCACUCUUGAAGAAAACAAAAAUGAAAUUAAGCACCAAUAAUAUAAAAAUAAAAACUCUUACAAAAUUCAAACCACCAGUAAUAAUAAUAAUAAUAAUAAUAAUAAUAAUAAUAAUAAUAAUAAUAAAAUCCGAUAUAUAAUCCUUUCAAGACAUUGCCAAAGGUCUUUAGUUGCCCUAAUGGUAAUUAAAUUACCAUCAUGACUUUACAAUCAAUCUUCUUAAUUAUAUACGAUCAUCUUCAUCAUCCUCUUCGCCGCCAAUGCCGCCAUCGUCCGCUGCCGCCGCACCGGCCUCGGAACCACCCAUCUGAACUCCGGCAGCUGACACCAAGUGGAAACUCAAUUAAUAUUGAGUGGAGAAAGAAAGCUAGCUAGAGUUCUUGAAAUUUAGUGAGGAGAGGGUAUGGGUUUAGCAGUGGCUUUUUUGUAGGAAGGAUGGUGGGAAGAGUAUCUUCUUGGCAUAUACUAUGAAGCAUUACUUUUCCCAUUUACUUUUUUAUAAAUUUUUCAAUAUUAUAAUAAAACUAAGAAGGUGACCAUGGCAUUAAUUUGUGGAAUCUACUUAGAUCUCUCCUAUUUUUAGUGGUCUUUUGAGAUGUAUGCAUAUCCCUG